rnacentral:rRNA from 1 species
UACGGAGGGUGCAAGCGUUAUCCGGAAUCAUUGGGUUUAAAGGGUCCGCAGGCGGAAUAAUAAGUCAGUGGUGAAAUCUUACAGCUUAACUGUGAAAUUGCCAUUGAUACUGUUGUUCUUGAAUUUGGUCGAAGUGGGCGGAAUAUGACAUGUAGCGGUGAAAUGCAUAGAUAUGUCAUAGAACACCGAUAGCGAAGGCAGCUCACUAGGCCUGAAUUGACGCUCAUGGACGAAAGCGUGGGGAGCAAACAGGAUUAGAUACCCUGGUAGUCCACGCCGUAAACUAUCAAUACUCGUUUUCAGCGAUAUACAGUUGGAGACUAAGCGAAAGUGAUAAGUAUUGCACCUGGGGAGUACGAUCGCAAGGUUGAA